rnacentral:lncRNA from 1 species
CCAUUCUUUCAUCUGCGGACACAGAUUGAUGCCGUCUCUCAGCUGUUGUGAACAGUGCUCAUGAACAUGGGGUGCAGCUGUCUCUUUGAUACAUCGAUUUCAUAUCCUUUGGAUAUAUACCCAGCAGUGGGAUUGCUGGAUCUUAUGGUAGUUCUAAUUGUGGCUUUUUGAGGAGUAAUUAUCCUUUAAGUAUCAGAUCCUGGUGACCUGAGAUCCCCAAGGAUAGAACAAAAAACUGUUUUCCUUGUAGCCCUGGUAUUGAAGUAGAUAUAACCUUGAGGAUUUUUCUCUCGGCAGCCUCACGGUUCGUUAUAUCUUUGACCUUUUGAGGACAUGCACUUUAGGGAAACCGAGGCAGGUAUCAACUCAUUUCUGUCCCCAGCCCCAUCUCCUGGUCCUGGGCUUAUCCCUACCUGUUCACAAUACCUUCCCAAUGAUCCUGGGCGGGGACCACAUGACUGUCAUGUCUGAAGAUGCCCCAGUGCCCGACUAGUACCCUGUGGACAGCAGGUCUGCGCCGUCUGGUUGUUGAAAGAGCCCCUCCCAAGCCUCACCCCCGGAGCUGCUCAAGGUCCAGCCCUGGGGACAUUGUCUCACUCGCUCCCCCAAGAGGGGCCACAGAGGUGCUUUUGCAGAAUUCCCAGGCUCCCUGGAGAACAACAUAGAAACCACUGAUCCGAAACAACAGACGCCUUUUGCAGAGCCGCUGGAAUGUCACAUCAGAGCCGCUGGAAUGUCACAUCAGAGCCGCUGGAAUGUCACAUUGGAGCUGCUGGAAUGUCACAUCAGAGCUGCUGGAAUGUCACAUCAGAGCCGGAGUUACACAUAUGGAGAGGGAGAAAACGCAAAGGAGCCCCGUGCUGUUGGACUGGAAUUUGAAAUAUCAGUGUGAACUCAGGGUUUUCUUUU